rnacentral:rRNA from 1 species
GAUGAACGCUAGCUACAGGCUUAACACAUGCAAGUCGAGGGGAAACGGCAUUGAGUGCUUGCACUCUUUGGACGUCGACCGGCGCACGGGUGAGUAACGCGUAUCCAACCUUCCCAUUACUGUGGGAUAACCUGCCGAAAGGCAGACUAAUACCGCAUAGUCUUCGAUGACGGCAUCAGAUUUGAAGUAAAGAUUUAUCGGUAAUGGAUGGGGAUGCGUCUGAUUAGCUUGUUGGCGGGGUAACGGCCCACCAAGGCUACGAUCAGUAGGGGUUCUGAGAGGAAGGUCCCCCACAUUGGAACUGAGACACGGUCCAAACUCCUACGGGAGGCAGCAGUGAGGAAUAUUGGUCAAUGGACGGAAGUCUGAACCAGCCAAGUAGCGUGCAGGAUGACGGCGCUAUGGGUUGUAAACUGCUUUUGUAUGGGGAUAAAGUUAGGGACGUGUCCCUAUUUGCAGGUACCAUACGAAUAAGGACCGGCUAAUUCCGUG